rnacentral:lncRNA from 1 species
GGUAGACUCAAAAUUAGUUUGUAAUUCUCUGAUUUAAUUUCCUUUACAUGUAAAACGGAACAAAUAAACUGCUCUAAGUGCAUUGAUGUGAGAAUUAUAAUUAAUAGGAUAGAUGUCAUUUGCCUGACCCAGGCAUGGCACAUCAGAGACCAUCCAUAAGUGACAGCUAUAAUCACCAUCAUGUUUUUAACAAAAUCCAGAUUUGAAGUUUCAUAUGGCAGCAAUAACACAAGUACCAUGAGAAUAAACUGAAUAACAGUGUGAAUCAUUCAAAAUACAUAGGUCCAAUACUGAUGUCUUUGGCUAAUAUUUGGAUUUUGUUUCCCAUUUCCAGUUGUCAAAAGUCUAAGGCCCUGUGUUCACUCUGUAUUUGGGCAUGAAGCCGACUGUGGUGUUGCAUGGAUAUGAAGCUGUGAGGGAAGCCCUGGUUGACCUUGGAGAGGAGUUUUCUGGAAG